CGCCCCCAUCGCCGCCUUUCUUUAGAGAUCGCGCCCGUCCGCGCCGCCGGCACCGUAGGCACCACGCGCGCCGCUUUCCCGUCAGCACCGAGCCACCGCCUUUCAACCAGAGCUAACCACCCUCAACUUGACUCCGCCAUGGAUGAGAAUUAGGAAGCAACGGGGAGGCGACCAUGGCGGCCCUGCUGUUUCCCAUCUGACCCAUGCCUUCAGUCUGUUCUGCGGUUUUGCUUUCAACGACGCCAUCGUCAGAAACUCCCUGCUGUUCAGCUCUGAUGGGAGCAGAGGCGACCUGAAAGCGAAAGUGGAGGUACAUGACCUGCCUUACUGAACUGAUUGGAGAUACUUGAGCAUUGGGUGACCUGCUUCAGAAAAUUUUCGCAGAUUACGAAUUUAGAGCUGAGGCACUGAUCUUGAACCUGUUCUGCGGUUUUGCUCUUGCGUCUUCGUGCAACUCAGGAGGCGUUUCUCCUGGUUGGGGACUUGGCCACUGGGGGCUCAAGCUGGCCUUUAACAACGCCAUCGCGAAAAAAAAAAAUUGCUGCUGCUCAGUGCAGGAACUGAAAAGGAGUGCAGAUACAUGAACUGCCUUACUGAACUGAAAGUGGAGAUAUACGAGCAUGCCGCAUGGGUGACUUGGUUCAGAAAUUUUUUGCAGAUUGCAAAAUUUGAGUUCAGAGUUGAGAUUAGUACAAGAGCAGCUCUUGUUGGCAGAGGAUUGCAC
rnacentral:lncRNA from 1 species